rnacentral:tRNA from 1 species
UUCCUGGUGGUCCAGUGGUUAAGACUCUGGGCUCCCAAUGUCCCAAGUUCGAUCCCUGGUCAGGGAA